UGGCGACGGGUGAGUAACGCGUGGGGAACCUGCCCUGUACAGGGGGAUAACACUUAGAAAUAGGUGCUAAUACCGCAUAAGCGCACAGUAUCGCAUGAUACAGUGUGAAAAACUCCGGUGGUACAGGAUGGACCCGCGUCUGAUUAGCUGGUUGGCGGGGUAACGCCCACCAAGGCGACGAUCAGUAGCCGGCCUGAGAGGGUGAACGGCCACAUUGGGACUGAGACACGGCCCAAACUCCUACGGAAGGCAGCAG
rnacentral:rRNA from 1 species